rnacentral:sRNA from 1 species
AGAUCGGGCCUUUCAGGCAUCCUCUCCUAAAAACUUUCAGGCCGGCCCCUUGGGGUCGGCCCUUUUUUUGUUGCCC